UCCCUUAGAUGUUCUGGGCCGCACGCGCGCUACACUGACGAUGGCAACGAGUUUUUCCUUCGCCGAAAGGUGUGGGUAAUCUUUUGAAACAUCGUCGUGCUGGGGAUAGAUCAUUGCAAUUUUUGAUCUUGAACGAGGAAUUCCUAGUAAGCGCGAGUCAUCAGCUCGCGUUGAUUACGUCCCUGCCCUUUGUACACACCGCCCGUCGCUACUACCGAUUGAAUGGUUUAGUGAGGACUCCUGAUUGGCGCCGCCGCCCCGGCAACGGAGCAGCGGACUGCCGAAAAGUUGUUCAAACUUGAUCAUUUAGAGGAAGUAAAAGUCGUAACA
rnacentral:rRNA from 1 species